UGUUUAUGUAAAAGCAAAGUAGAUUAAUAUAAUCAGACUCGCGAUCGAUUUCCUGUUGUGAAAGAAUUGCGAUCAUUAUAAUCACAGAUCGUGAUAAUUGUAUACAUGUGAAACGCACUGGAAAGUGUAAAUAAUUGUUGUUUAAGUGUUCUCGUUGUGAAGUAAAACGGUGAUGAUCAUCCAUAAAGAUCCGGCUUCGUGUAUCAUAUGCCUUUCACAUUAAAACAACAACAUGUAUUUGCAUAUAUAACGUACGCAUGUACUACAAGGAAUAGAAAUCGCUGAUUUCCGUUAUCGUCAUCAUUGUCGUUGUCAUCGUCAACGUUGUCGCACGCCUAGAAAAGAAAAGAAAAAUAGCCUAUAUCCGCGAAAGUGGUCUUCUCAUCUUUUUUCGCAUUUACUCAGUCACUCGGUUCGAGAGAUUAUCGUGCUAGUGGAACGGCUUUUGAUACUUCGCGAAACUGAUUAGCUUAAUCGGUUAAAUCUUGUCAAGCUUAUCGUCGAUGCUUCGGUAAUAGUAUCAAUUUGCAAGAAGUAAGAAAAUAAUUGAGGAGGGAACAAAAAUUUCUCUGUGUACCCAAACACUGUGAAAGAUGAUGUGAAUUGUCCGAAAAAGCGAGGAUCGAAGUAGUUAGCUAAAUUAUAUUGUCAUAUGGUUGUUACCGAACCGCGUGUACAGCCUAUAUCACAUUAUUUCAAGAAUGUCUCACGUAUAUUUAAUAUAGAGAGAUAUUGAUGCGAUAUUUAUAUAAUAUUCAGUGGAUAUGUUUGAACACUGUACUGUUGGGUAGUUUUUCUUGCUUAUCUUCUUUUUUAUUUUUUUUGUUUAGAGUAAUCGAUUGUUCUUACAAUUAUCUUAUCCCAGACAGCACAAAAGACGUCCGAAAAACGUCGUAAGAGGAGAUAAAGAUAUCUAGAAAAUAGUUGAAAUAAUUUAGACCCACACAAUUUCCUCAUACCUCCCGAUAGCUAUUUUCUAGAUAAAGAUAUGCAAAAAGAUAUACUUUAUCUUUUAGAUAAAGUUAUCGAGAACUUAUCAUAUGUGAAGGAAUUGAGCAUUAGAUGUCUUUGGAACAUUUUCUUAAGAUAUUUUUCGGAUUUUUGUGCUAUCUGGGAAGAAACACUCGAGGAACGGUAUAUGUGCAUCGAUAAAAAAAAAGGUUGAUCUUUUUGACAUUUUUUGGUCUGUCAUACGUACAACGGAAAGUUUUGGCAAUUGUAUGCAAAGAAAGAAACAUAUAAACAUGUGUACACGCAAUUGAUAUUGCUCGUGACGUUACUGAUUGGAUCCUCAGAAGAAUUCUUUUUUGAAUAUCCUAAAAAGGCUCUGACGGAGUUCUUUC